UAGGGAAUCUUCCGCAAUGGACGCAAGUCUGACGGAGCAACGCCGCGUGAGUGAAGAAGGAUUUCGGUUCGUAAAACUCUGUUGUUAGAGAAGAACAGCGCAUAGAGUAACUGUUAUGCGUGUGACGGUAUCUAACCAGAAAGCCACGGCUAACUACGUGCCAGCAGCCGCGGUAAUACGUAGGUGGCAAGCGUUGUCCGGAUUUAUUGGGCGUAAAGCGAGCGCAGGCGGUUAGAAAAGUCUGAAGUGAAAGGCAGUGGCUCAACCAUUGUAGGCUUUGGAAACUGUUUAACUUGAGUGCAGAAGGGGAGAGUGGAAUUCCAUGUGUAGCGGUGAAAUGCGUAGAUAUAUGGAGGAACACCGUUGGCGAAAGCGGCUCUCUGGUCUGUAACUGACGCUGAGGCUCGAAAGCGUGGGGAGCGAACAGG
rnacentral:rRNA from 1 species